rnacentral:rRNA from 1 species
UACGUAGGGUGCGAGCGUUGUCCGGAAUUAUUGGGCGUAAAAGGGCUCGUAGGCGGUUUGUCGCGUCGGGAGUGAAAUCCACUGGCUUAACUGGUGGCUUGCUUUCGAUACGGGCAGACUGGAGGUAUGCAGGGGAGAACGGAAUUCCUGGUGUAGCAGUGAAAUGCGCAGAUAUCAGGAGGAACACCGGUGGCGAAGGCGGUUCUCUGGGCAUGUCCUGACGCUGGAGGAGCGAAA